GUAACCUGCCUCAAAGAGGGGGAUAGCCUCCCGAAAGGGAGAUUAAUACCGCAUGACAAAUAUAAUCCGCAUGGAUUAUAUUUUAAAGGAGAAAUCCGCUUUGAGAUGGACCCGCGGCGCAUUAGCUAGUUGGCAGGGUAACGGCCUACCUAGGCGACGAUGCGUAGCCGACCUGAGAGGGUGAACGGCCACAUUGGAACUGAGAGACGGUCCAGACUCCUACGGGAGGCAGCAGUGGGGAAUAUUGUACAAUGGGCGAAAGCCUGAUGCAGCAACGCCGCGUGAGUGAAGAAGGUUUUCGGAUUGUAAAGCUCUGUCAUCUGGACGAUAAUGACGGUACCAGAUGAGGAAGCCACGGCUAACUACGUGCCAGCAGCCGCGGUAAUACGUAGGUGGCAAGCGUUGUCCGGAAUUACUGGGCGUAAAGGGUGCGCAGGCGGACAUUUAAGUGAGAUGUGAAAUACCCGGGCUUAACCCGGGCAGUGCAUUUCAAACUGGGUGUCUGGAGUGCAGGAGAGGAGAACGGAAUUCCUAGUGUAGCGGUGAAAUGCGUAGAGAUUAGGAAGAACACCAGUGGCGAAGGCGGUUCUCUGGACUGUAACUGACGCUGAGGCACGAAAGCGUGGGUAGCAAACAGGAUUAGAUACCCUGGUAGUCCACGCCGUAAACGAUGAGUACUAGGUGUAGGAGGUAUCGACCCCUUCUGUGCCGCAGUAAACACUAUAAGUACUCCGCCUGGGAAGUACGAUCGCAAGAUUAAAACUCAA
rnacentral:rRNA from 1 species